ensembl:lncRNA
GAGAUUUAUUAACGAGGUCGGCGAGACAGUCAGGGGACAAGGCGUGAACAAGGACGAUUGGAACGCGGAGGCUGAAAAGAAGGCACCAGACUUUGUGAAUGAACAAUGACCGCUCGCAGUGUGAGUGGACUUGUCGGGUGUCCGGACCGGCACAAUUGACGACUCCUGCUUUCGUGAUGCUAUAUGCCUACAUGAGGCCGUAGUACAGUUAACAGACGAGCUGAGCUGGUGACGUCAUCGAGUCUGCUGCCGUUCCAAUUGCAGCCUUCCACGCUGAAAAACGUCUGUGCAGCAUGCUGCGGCCCAGCUGAUUCAGCUUGCUUUUGAAAAGGACCUGACUCACAAGUUUACGUGUGAGUGGAAGGAUAUGUUGAUGAGGAGGUUCAGCUCGGAGAAACGCGCCUCCCGCUGAGGACAGGGAGGGAGGACAGCGCUGACUCAACUCAAAAUGGCCGAAACAAGUGGCUACACGACGGGGGGGAUGUCGCAGGACUCCACCCUCAUCCUGUCCAGAACUGAGGAGGCCCCCGCUCCCCAGCUGCGUCCCCAGCUGGCUCCCCAGCUGGCUCCGCAGCCCCCUCCUCAGCCUGCUCCCCCUCAACUACCCCCGGCUGAGGAGGGGGACGAGGAGGGAUAUUUGGGAGAUGAUGAGGGGGAUGAUUGAAUUAUUUUUUUAUGUUUGUUUUUGUAUAUAGUUGUGUGGUUUCGUUUAAAUAAUAAUAAAAUCGUUUUUAUUAUAAAA